rnacentral:rRNA from 1 species
CCUAAUGACCGAGUGGCACAACGAUACUGACCAUACCGCAUAAACAAAACCGACCUGCCACGUUGGCACGUGGAUAUAUACGUGUCUGUGUGUCUCUCUUUCUCCCUCCAUCUCAGCGUUGAGCGUUGGGGUGAUCGUGUUGCGGUUGCAUUCGAACUAGCGGGCGGCUACUUCUCGAAGGACCAGAGAAGGCCGCUGCUCCUUCUCCCCCGCCGCAACCACGGCGGAGUCCUCCUGCCGCUCCGCGGCGCGUUCCAGCAGCAGCUGCCGCCGUUUCGACGACUAGGCCGCCAACUUGCGAACAGCGGCAGAAGCGGUAGGUGUCGCUGCUGCUGCUUCUUCGGCACCACCUUCCGGAGCGACGACAGCGGCUGCUUCCCGCGGCACCCCGACCACUAGCCGCCGGAGCACCAGGAGUGCGACGAGCGGCCGCGGUCUACCUAGCUGGAGCUGCGGAGCAAGGACGCCCCGUGGCCGUCGCCGUGGCCGUCGUGAUGGUCGGCAGCAACCGCGGUAGGAGGAGCGGCGGUUGCGAGUAGUGGCGGGCACGGGUAUGGGAAGUCGACGCCGUUGCCCUGCAGUAGCAGCAGAUGCGGUGAUACGGCAGCGGGGGCGCCCCCUUACGGUGGUGGCCGACGUAGUGGUAGAGGUCGCCGCGGCCUUGCUGGGCACGUCGGCGGCGGCGGAAGCACGGGCCUGAUGAAGUCCGUGUAGGUGAGCCUGGAACUUGGCACCGCGCUCUUCCCCUAGUCGUCCCUCCGCCACCUCGCGCCGGUCGGCUUGCGCCGCAAGGCCGACUGCCACCAGAGGCCCGCGCGCAUGCACCUCUGCAUGGUGGCGCACAAGGUCUGCGCCCUGGACAAGUGCGUCACCCCUAGCGCGUCGACGAGCGGGCGAUGGGCCCGGCGCAGGGCCUGGAGCUGGAGUACAAGUUGACGCUCCUGUACGGCCUCGACGCGCGGCGGCUGAUGGGCCUGUGGAGGCGGCGCGGCGGCGAGAAGGCGAUGACGUUCCUGCCGUGGAGCCAGCUUCAGGAGAAGGGCCUGACCAGGAAGACCCCGACCGGCCUCCAGUUGUAGGCAGGUACCCCCGGCGAGUACUUCCUCUAGCGGUUCCUCUUACGCGCCGAGGGGACCGGCCUGUCCCUCGGCAUGCGCAAGACCUUCCCGUUGGCGCCGCACAGCCUUCGCGCGGCGCUGGAGAAGGCGACGUCGUUGCUGAGGCGGCGGCCGUUUCUGACCUUGCGCGCCGACAAGCGCGACCUGACCCCGCGGCGGUUGGCCUUGCCGAAGUUCCCGAGGUUGGACCGCCUCGUCACGGCCAUGUCCAUGUUCUAGAUGCACGUCCCCGCCAGCACCAGCCACUCACUCUUCAUGUAAGAGCGUACGCUGAGCGGCUACGACCGGUAGCUGUGCGGGAAGCUCCUGAAGAAGAGGGCCCCCGAGCAGCGGCCGGCGGUGAUGACCGGGCAGCUGGGUUUCCUGUUCACGGCGCGGCAGUUCAAGCGGCAGCUGACCCCCUUGCGCGUAGGCCGCGACCGGGUCGCGUACCCGUUCCUCCCGUCGCCCAAGCGCUCCCUCCUCUACUCGUACCUGAUGCAAAUGCUGAUGUACGACGUGCACGAGUGGGUCAUGCGACGGGACGAGGCCAUGUUCGGGUGUCACGGCCUCUUGCGGCACCUCGAGACGGGGCUCAGGUACCGGACGAGGCGGGUUCCGGCCCUGUCCCUCAAGUACUACCUCAGGUCCCUCUACAUACACCGGCCUAUGCUCGGCACGUGCAACGGCGGCGGCAAGUGGCGGCUCCUCCUCUCCCUCUACCGACGUUCCCUUCUCCUACACGCUUCUUUUCAACAAUUUUACUUCCCCUCCAUCGUCGGGUGGAAUGAUCUUUACCAUCUAAUAUGUUUAACUAAAUCACACUGUUUCGUUCUAGUUGGUUUACCUUGUCCGUUUAUAUGUCUCUACUUCUGUUCGAAUCUCAUAAAUGAAAUCUUUUAUUUUUCUAAGUUUCGUAAGCGUUGAUGUUCAUAAAAAAGAAAGAAGGUUUCCUUCGGACUUGGAUAUCGGGGGCGAAGGACCUAGGUACACAGGGAUUAGAGAAACAUUCAAUCCUUCUCUCCCUAACGUACGGAGCUAUUAAAGUAACUAGCACGUGCACCA